rfam:Ailuropoda melanoleuca scaffold311_80, whole genome shotgun sequence.
AAAAAGGCUUUUUUAAAAGCCCCCUCAAAACUAAAAGAAAGGCUAAU